GGGGUCGUAGCUCAGCUGGUUAGAGCGCGUCCCUGAUAAGGACGAGGUCGGUGGUUCGAAUCCACCCGGCCCCA
rnacentral:tRNA from 1 species